AAAAUUUAGGUACAAUUAUGUAAGUACUUUUUGUAUGGUUCUUAACUAAAAAUACAUCUUUUUUUGGAUAUAACAAACUUUGAGAAAAUUACGAAUUUAAGAAAAUCAUUAUGAAUUUAGUUAAGAACCAUACAAAAAACACAUAAGAAAUUGUACUAAGUUUU
rfam:Medicago truncatula strain A17 chromosome 8, whole genome shotgun sequence.